UUAAUGAACUUUUUAAUCGGC
rnacentral:piRNA from 1 species